rnacentral:tRNA from 1 species
AUAAAGAUGGCAGAGAAAAUGCAUUAGGUUUAAGCCCUAAAGACGAAGAUUAUUCUUUUCUUUAUA